UACGAAGGGGGCUAGCGUUGUUCGGAAUUACUGGGCGUAAAGGGCGCGUAGGCGGUGUGUCAAGUCAGGCGUGAAAGCCCCGGGCUCAACCUGGGAACAGCGCUUGAGACUGGCACGCUCGAGUUCGGGAGAGGAUGGUGGAAUUCCCAGUGUAGAGGUGAAAUUCGUAGAUAUUGGGAAGAACACCGAUGGCGAAGGCAGCCAUCUGGACCGACACUGACGCUGAGGCGCGAAAGCGUGGGGAGCAAACAGGAUUAGAAACCC
rnacentral:rRNA from 1 species